GCCGCCCGCUUUCUUCUUUCUUAACACAUGCAAGUCGAACGGAAAGGCCCUGCUUUUGUGGGGUGCUCGAGUGGCGAACGGGUGAGUAACACGUGAGUAACCUGCCCUUGACUUUGGGAUAACUUCAGGAAACUGGGGCUAAUACCGGAUAGGAGCUCCUGCUGCAUGGUGGGGGUUGGAAAGUUUCGGCGGUUGGGGAUGGUCUCGCGGCCUAUCAGCUUGUUGGUGGGGUAGUGGCUUACCAAGGCUUUGACGGGUAGCCGGCCUGAGAGGGUGACCGGCCACAUUGGGACUGAGAUACGGCCCAGACUCCUACGGGAGGCAGCAGUGGGGAAUAUUGCACAAUGGGCGGAAGCCUGAUGCAGCAACGCCGCGUGCGGGAUGACGGCCUUCGGGUUGUAAACCGCUUUCGCCUGUGACGAAGCGUGAGUGACGGUAAUGGGUAAAGAAGCACCGGCUAACUACGUG
rnacentral:rRNA from 1 species